ensembl:lncRNA
CAGCAGGAGCCUGGUCUGUGGGUUGCUGUUAGCUCCAGGAAUGAUUCCACAGGGCGGCUGACCCCUGAGGCCACCCUGUGGAGGGCCGCACCUGUGACCGCAAAUACAGCCGUUGGUCUCCCCGUGAGGCUCACCUCCCCUGACCUGGAGACCUCCAACCCCGGAUGUUCCUCGGUGGUUAGGUCUGAUGUUUCUGCAGGCCGCUCUGUGCUGCUCCUACACCCCACCCAACCUCCCCUUUCUUAGAUUUUUAAAGAAGAAAUGACCCACGAACCUAUCUAAAAACGGUUCAACUGAAGCGGAAUUCUAAAAAUGACUGAAAAAUAACCUUUGUGAGGUAUGAGCCUGUGUCUGAAGCAGUGCUUUCAAGGGCUCUGUGGGAAAUCCACACCCAUGUGGUUGGCUAGUUGCAUCUUUUCACCCACAUUAGAAGGUGAUUUUAAUGUGUUUAAUUUAGCAAGAAUUUGUUUGGUGACAUUCCACUUUCACACCCCUUUGUCAGAGAAGGAAGAAGGACCACGUUCUCCAAUUGUCGGUCCCCUUCACUCUGAUAGAAGUCCUGUUGUCCUGUCUUCCCUGCUCAGGGCAGCUCCCUCCCCCAAUCCUCCAGGAGCCUUCGCAGCUGCAGCGAAAGGAGGAACUCAAGUUCGUUCGAGUGGGAGGUGAGCAGAGACAGAAAGAGAGAGGAACUGGGGGUGCAGACUUUCCACAAGUGACUUCAUAUGUCCCUGAGCAUCACCUUGCACCACCAGUCCACUGUGGCAGGUCAGUGCAAACGAGUCUGAGAAACCACAGGCUGCUCCAGUGGCUGCCGCUGCCUCUUGCUCAGUUGAAAAUUAUUCUCUGCUGGGAGUGGACGACCUCUGAGCAUUGAUGAAAACAGCUGGUCUCAGAUUCGGAGUUAGAGAAGAUGUAAGCAAGGAAGUCUUCACAGAUAUGAAAAUAUCGGGAACCUGAACUUAUAUAUGGGACAUUGGAGCUUUCUUUCUCUUGGUGCUGAGUGUUGUCACUGUAGGAGGGACACUCUUCAGUCAACAUGUGUUCACUGGGAAUCUGUUAUGUGUCAGGCCCUGUGCUAGCUGCUGGGGGUGCACCGGUGAGUGACACCCACCUUCACAGAGCCCAGAGCAGUCAUCUCCGAACUUUCGUCAUUGCACAUCCCUGUAGGAAAAAAUGGUUCGCAAUCGUUUGGGGGGCUCAUAGAUCCCUUUGGUAUCUGAUGAAAUUUAUGGCUUCUCUCCCUAAAAAAACGCAGUCUCAUCUUACUCCUGCAACAAGUUGGGAAUAGUACUACCCCUUGAGGUUUCUCUACACCUUGACUGCUGCUGUGCCGGGUCACAUUGGAGCUUGAGGCAAAAGGAAAUAAUGGUCAAGUAUGACAUUCCCGGGAGAAUGGAUCAGAUUAGCUCAACUUGAGGCGAGUAGCCAUCUUGGUACCAAGCAACUAUGACCAGAGGACAGGAUCUUGUGGUUGAGCGCCUACUGGAAGCCCAUCCCUGAAGAUGGAAAAUAGAGAUUUCUAGAGAAGAGGAAUUGCUUCCAGAGAAAGAGGGACCUGCUACAUGGCAGUGCUGGCUGUUAAACCAAAGUAAUAUUGUCCAUGUUUUAUAUUUUGCUUGAUCUUCAAUUGUCAAGAGUAAACACCCAACAAUGUUCCACUCAGUGAAUUCUGUAGAUUAAUGCCUCCAAGUGCAAAAGUGGUAAAAAUGAAUGCAAUUUGAAAUUUAUUCUUUAUGUAAGUAGUGUCUGUGAGAAGGGAGUGGGGAUUUGUUCACGAGCCACAGGCUUGUGCUCCAAAAUUCCACGUAAGAUAGAUCUGUUGUGGUCUAGUUCGAGGCUGAUGGUCUAACACAGCUUUUGCGCAUCUGAAAUACCAGGCUAAGAAUGGCAAACACGUGGACCCAUUAUUCUAUCUGUCGCCUGGCCCGUGGCAGACAUCACUAGUAGGCUAAUAAGCAGUAAGCAGAACUCAUUACUGAUAAGCUUCAGAAUCCUUCUCAACACUGCUCUCUAAGAAGCCAGCAUUAACUAAGCAGGUAGCACAUGAAAAAAACCCACUUGCCACUGCUGCCCAAGAGGCACGCUGGGUGACUUAUCACGGACCCACCAUGAGCUACUGGAGCCAGCAUUUUAUUGUCAUGCGUGAAAGUUUGGAUGGAGACUGCUGUUCUGAGCAGAUUAGAGGCAGGAUGCGGUCAAGUCAUCAAGGUAACUUCGCCAUCUGUGUUCUUGUUACAAAUCCAAGGAGUCCAGCCCAAGCCCUCUCCCCUGAGAAGGCUGGAACAGACAAAGGCCUACUUCUUGUUUAGUUGAAGGCAGGUGAGUGGUUCUGUUGGGUCACAGUUGAGAAGGUGGUUGAGUGAGCAGUCAUAGGCCUCUGGAGUCAGGCCUUCACGGGACGCUUCAAAAGGCCCAUUUCUUCCUGGGUCCCGGGUAGGGGCCAGCCAAGGAAGAGCCAUCAGAGAAGCCUGCCUCCUUUCCUCCCAGUGUCUCAGGCCUCCAUCCGCAGCAGUGCAGGCUUGAGGGGCCUGGCAGGCUUCCAGGCACAAACACUGCACAGUCGGGUUUUUUUUGUUUUUCAUUUUUGAGGAAGAUUAGCCCUGAGCUAACUACUGCCAAUCCUCCCCUUUUUGCUGAGGAAGACUGGCCCUGAGCUAACAUCCAUGCCCAUCCUCCUCUACUUUAUAUGUGGGAUGCCUACCACAGCAUGGCUUUUGCCAAGCGGUGCCAUGUCUGCACCCAGGAUCCAAAGCGGCGAACCCCGGGCCACCAAGAAGCGGAAUGUGCUCACUUAACCACUGCACCACUGGGCCAGCCCCUGCACGGUGGGUUAUGAAGCCAAACCUGAUGGCCUUGCUCAUCCCCUCGUGCCUCCUCCCUGCUCCCUGACAGUUAAGUGAAUGAAGUCCAGAAAGGUUAAGAGAUUCCAUCAAAGUCAUACAGGUAAUCAGUGAGUUCCAGGUUGCGUGAAGAGCUAGCGUUCAUGGUGUGCCUCUCUGAAGCCCUAUGAAAGACCAAGUUUCGUUGUUAUCCUGGUUUUACCUGUGAGAAAACCAAUGCCACACUGCCCAGAUGAGGGCCCUGAACCACACAGAUGCUGAAAGCGAGCCAACCUGGAAGCCUGUGGAGUUCCCCCAGCGUGAUUGGAGCCAUUGUUCUGCUGCCUGGCAGGGAGGGGCAGCGGGCUUCGGUGCCUUCGGUAGACAUCUGCCUCCGAGGUUUCCUCUGCCUCGCUGUUUGGAGACACAAGCUUUUCCUUCAGAGUCUGAGCCUUUUCAGUGCAAAAAUUUCAGCAAAAUAGCUACGUUUUCCAUUGCUUCAUUGUAUUGAGAACAGGCGUGUCUUGAUCCCACCUCUACUUUUCAAAGGAAGAUUAGCUCUGAGCUAACAUCUGCCACCAAUCCUCCUCUUUUUUGCUAAGGAAGAUUGGCUCUGAGCUAACUCCAGCGCCUGUCUUCCUCCACUUUGUAUGCCGGAUGCCUGCCAAAUCAUGGCUUGACAAGCAGUGUGUAGGUCCACACCCGGGAUCUGAACUGGCAAACCCCGGGCCGCCAAAGCAGAAUGUGAGAACUUAACGGCUGUACCACCGGCUGGCCCCUGAAUCAUGGUAAUUGGAUGAUGGAAUUUGUAAGGGCCAUUUGCCAGUUGCUCCCUAGAAUCCACUCCCUUUUGUCCCCUCUUAAUCGUUGGUUGGGGUUGGCCCCCACUCCUGACUGAGGGCAGCCAAUCAGCCCAUCAUAUUUCCUUGGCCUCAGAACUGUUUCAUGUAAGAAAAAAUCUUGUCCAAUCAGAAUGAAUCAGAAUGAUUACGAGGCGUAGAAUAGCUGCAGCCAGGAGGGGCAGCCUGGAGCCUCCAGGAGGCCUGAGAUGGACCCUGAGAGAGGAACUAGUCCAACGACGUGUGCUGGGGGAUGGAGCCUACUGGGGUCAAGCUGGGUGACAUGCCGAAGCGGGGCGAAUGCCCUUUUGGUUUUGGUUCUUGUUUAGCUGGCCUGAGGUGAGUCGCCUUUCACUUGCAGCCAUAAGGAUCCUAGGUGCUAAAGGAUGCCCGGUAGCUGUGAAAGGAAGUGAGGUGCAUCUACAUUUGCCCAUGUGGAAUUCCUUGAGAUACUUUGUGAAAUGAAAGCAUUAUACAACGAAUAUAGAAUAUACUCCCUUCUAUAUAAAUGAAAAGCUGUGAGAAUGAGUGAGUGCCUGUGCAUGUGUGGAUGUGUGUGAUGUGUAUAACAGUCUCAGCUAGUCCACGCAAUGCUUUUGAACAAAUUAGGAAAAGACGCUCCCUCUGGUAUGUGCAGCCCCAUGCCACGGAGCAGCUUGGCAAGCAAGUGUGCAAUGGAUUUUAACCCCUCCUUGUCUCUGUGGCUGGGGGGCUUCAUGCUGUACACAAUCUACACAAUAUGCCAUGGUCCUUUGUCUAUAUACUUGUAUAUGAUAUUUCCGGUAGGAUACAUGCAAAACCAGAAAGACAGGUUGCUUCUAGGAAGGGAAGACUCGGAGUUUGGUGGUAGUAGGGUGAAAGGAGGCUUGUCCUCUGUGCUGCCCUGGGGGGGGUAUUUGAAUUUUACUACCAUCUACACAAAUUACUUUUCAAAACUAGUUCAUUUGAAUAAACAAGUAGGAAAGCAAACAAAAACACAGGUUUGAUCUCAGUUACUCCCUUGUUUCAAAAAACUUUCAACAAUCCUCAUGAAGAACUUCCAGCUACUUGAGCACAUCAUACAAAGGUUGCAGCUGGCCCCAGCCUGCCAUCCUAGCCUUACCUCGGGCAGCUCGCUUGGCCUCUCCGCCUUUGCAGCUGCUGUCCUCUCUGCUCUUCCCUGUGUCCCACCUGGGGGACUGCCGUCAUCCUCGGGGGCCCUUGUUCCUGGGUGUGCCCACAGUCCUUGGUGCCUUUCCCUUUCUUGCUACCUACCACAUUUUAUUGCAAUUGUUUGUUUAUUCCUACGCCACCUGCUUUCUGUGAGUGAGCUCUUUGACGGACCUGUGUCCCUGGACUUAG